GAUGAACGCUAGCGGCAGGCUUAAUACAUGCAAGUCGAGGGGCAGCACAGUUAGCAAUAACGGGUGGCGACCGGCGCACGGGUGCGUAACGCGUAUGCAAUCUACCUAUAACAGAGGGAUAGCCCCGAGAAAUCGGGAUUAAUACCACAUAACAUUAGGAUGUGGCAUCACAUUUUAAUCAAAGCUGAGGCGGUUAUAGAUGAGCAUGCGUGACAUUAGCUAGUUGGAGAGGUAACGGCUCACCAAGGCGACGAUGUCUAGGGGUUCUGAGAGGAUGAUCCCCCACACUGGUACUGAGACACGGACCAGACUCCUACGGGAGGCAGCAGUAAGGAAUAUUGGUCAAUGGGCGAGAGCCAGAACCAGCCAUGCCGCGUGCAGGAAGAAGGCCUUCGGGUUGUAAACUGCUUUUGUCAGGGAAGAAAUCUUCUGGGCUAAUACCCUGGGAGGAUGACGGUACCUGAAGAAUAAGCACCGGCUAACUACGUGCCAGCCGCCGCCGUAAAAC
rnacentral:rRNA from 1 species